rnacentral:lncRNA from 1 species
AGUAUCCUUCCCAGCCACCAGCUGUCAGAAAUGCGCCACAGUGGACAGUGAACACAAACUUUGUACUUUCUAUGAGAAGCCAAGAGUCGCAGACAUUCCUGGUGAUGUUCUAGAUGAAGGAUGGGAGGGCUACGAGGUCUGAAUCAGUGGUGGGAACGAUAAACAAGGUUUUCCUAUGAAGCAGGGUGUCUUGACCACAGCAGACCCUCUUUUGUUGUUGAGAAAAUGACAUUCUUGUAGAGACCAAAGACCAAAGCACACAAAUCUGCCCAGGGAUGGAUUGUGGGUGAUGUUCUCAAUGUGGAUAUUGUAGAAAAAGGAGAGAGGGGUGCUACUAAGCUGAGAGACACCACUGUGUCUUGGUAGUUGAGGCCCUGAAGAACUCGCAGAAUCUGAAAACUCCAAUCUCUCUAAAGACAAUGAUGUCCACUUGUAUGUUGGCAGGAUGUCCUUUAACAGAGAAGGCAGGAAGCCCAAGACCAAAGCCCCUAAGAGUUGGCGUCUUGUUACGCCACAUGACCUACCACACAAAAGUUC